CAAGUCGCAGCAGCUGGGGGAUGGAGGAGUUGAGAAUUCAAGGAUAGGACUUGUCUUCAAGACAUCUUCCAAAGAUGGAAAGUUGGCACAUUAAACAUUUAAAAGAAUCCAGCAUUUUAGGUCUUUCUGUAUUUUGUGUGUUUUUCAUAUACUUAAAUUGUUCUUCAGUUAUUCUUUCUCGUUUUGUAGCACAGAUAAAGAAUUGCUAUACAGAAUUCCACUCUGUUAUCCUACUCCAGUGUUCUUUAUAUGAUAUAACUUCUCUGCUCUUAAUAGGGUAGUAGUAAACAUCCUGGUCUUU
rnacentral:lncRNA from 1 species